ensembl:lncRNA
GCGGCCAGCAGGCCACGCCACCGCGCCAGGGAACGGGAAAGACUACAGGCCCCAGCAUGCCCCGCGGCUCCGUGCCCUACCACGCCCUCGCUCCGCCUUCCGGCCACGCGCCUGCGCACAGGGGCUGGUGGCGGAGCGCUGACGGCCUGGGAGCUGAGGGGCCAGCAACAGAGUGAGGGACAGACAGCCCUGCUGGGGGCCUCGGCCCGGCCCCAGGGCUUUGGGACGCCGCCUGGACAAGUAAAGGCUUUCCCAGAGGAAGCAAUUUCAGCGAAGGAGCCUCGUCUUCGUGCAUGUGGGCAUCUUCUGAAUGAAAAUGGAAGCCGCGCGGCGCGAGCGCACCAGUUGCCGCUUCAAGUCCGUCUCCCACGAGAGCCCCCAUUUCGACAGACAACUGAGCAGCCUGGAAACAUUUUAGGAUCGAAUUUAAUUUUUCCCCAUUGCACAGAAGCCGUUUUCACAGUCGCUCACCGACGCUUUGAGGUCCGACCUCUGUCCCUUCCCGGGCCGGGCCGGGCCGUCCUUUGCCCUUUUCCCGAUCUCGGGGGCGGCUGUCGCGGCGCUCGUGCCUCCGUCGGGCCUCGCCUGGAGCUCUUCGUGUGCUCGGACUCCGCAUGUGGGGAAACGAGGCCUUCCCGGGGGCCGCGAGGCAGAGGAGGCCCCGCCGUGCGGCCUCCUCGGGGGCCUGAGCCGGGAGAGGACAGCGGAGAGAAGGGCCUGCAGGCGGCCCCAAAGGACGAAGGCCGGCUACGAGGGGGGACGGGCGAGAAGGCAGGUUUGGGGCUCCCGGCUGGCCCCGCCGCCUGCCUUGACCUCUCCACAGCCGCCCCAACACGGGGGACUUGAGAAAAGCCAACUGUGGGGGCCGGAGGGGGGCGCCGCGGGGAAGGCCAGCGGGCAGCUUGGCCCGGCCGAGGGAGUCGGGUGCCGGGGCCGCGGCUCCGGGCCGUGAGCUGGAUUCGGAGGGCCACGAGGCUCCCUUCCCCGGGCCGAGGCUCUCGCCUGCCCUUCUUCCUGCUUCCUCCUUGGCUGGGCCCCAACGCAAACAGAGGACGGGCGGCGCCGCAGCUCCAGGAGGUUGUCGAGAGGGCCGGGCCGGGGAGGGGCCCAGGUGACGCCCCUCAUCCCGGAGGGGCCCCACCGGCUGCUGCCACGAUGGGGGCGGCCGUGCCGGGUCUGGUCUGCCCUGCGACACCCCCCAGUGGGGCGGCCCCGGACCCUCACCUCAGCCUACAGCCUCUGGGCCGGAUGACCUGGCCGGAGAGGCGGGCUCGAAGCCCCCCAGUGCCCGCGUUUCCAUGGCGACCAGAAGCAGGAAAAACCAGCCGGCCCAGCGGGGAGAUUCCUGCCCUGCGUCCAAGCCCUGAAGGGGACGGGACGGGGCGACCCGCCGAGAACAGCAGAGCCUGGGGGGGGGGGGGGCAGAGGCGGUCAGGGCAGGCCAGAACCGGGGGUGUCGUCAUCUGCAGGUGAGGGUGGGGGUGGGGUGCCCGGCAGGCCGUGGGGGCCCCCCCACGUCAUUCUUUAUGGAUGUGCCCAGCCUGGCACUGCCCGGUCUGUGCCCAUGUCUUCAAGGCCCAGGAGGGAGCAUCGUCCCCCUGGGGUGCCCUUCCUGGCCUCUCUGGCCUGAGGCUUGGCUGCCAGGCAGGUUCCUCCUGUUCCUGCUGGUCUCUGGGGCUCGUGGGGGAUGGGUUCAAGAGACCACAAGACCCCCGGAAUCUCCCAGCCGCUGUCCCUGCUCGAGAGAAGCAGAGCUGGGCCUCAGCAUGAGGGGGGGUCUUCGCUGGGGGGCUCCCCAAGUCUGAAGGCAUUGCUGGGCCAGCACGGCCCUGGAGGGCCUCGGACC